GCCAACCCGCCCCCCGCCAAUCCUCUGAUUCUCGAUCUCAUAAAAGAUAAAAACCAGUCGCAUUAAAUGGGCAGCAACAGGUGAAACUGUAAGGGCUGUCCAGAUGUCUCAGGCCCAGUGUUUGAAUUAAAUCAAACAGAAAUACUAAUGAAACGCAGCAAAGGAAUCUAUAUAUUUCCUCACGUUCAAAAAUAACUUGUUCUGCUUUCUGACAAGUGAGGUAGCAGCAGGCCUCUGAGCUGGGCAUAUGCCACUUUUGUAUUACUGCAGUAGUGACCCUAUCUCCUGCUGCUUCGUUCUGCAGUUAUGACACAGAUUCUGUUCAUAUUAAGUAUUUAAUAACUUCCUUCAGCAUCUAAAAUUGUCCUAAGAGGGAAGACAUGUAAGCCCAGAUGACCCGCAACACACAAGGCCCCAGCAUAAGCAAUUUCCUUGGAGCAAAAUGGGUUUGCCAAUGUGGGCAGUGGUCCUCACUAGAUUAAGCAGCACAUAGUUCUGGACUCCUGCUAAACCAUCUUGUGGUUGCAGGAAAAGGUAUUACCUGUCCCACCACAUUUCAUCUCAUGUCAUUAGAUACCAAAAGCUACAACACUGGCUACCGCCGCAAGAGUAAAAUGCUGGCUGCUGAGAAAAAAAAAGAAAACUUUGUUCCAUUUUUAAACAGCUGCCUUUGUUUGGUUUUUUCUCUCCCCUCUUCUCCUUACAGUUCCCAUUCGGAAGCAUGCAUGGCUACAAGUUUCUACAAGUCCUGUGGAGGAAGGUUCCAGUAACUUCUUCACUUCCUAUUUACAGGGCUUUUACCUGCUGGUUCAGCUUCUUUAGUUCUUUAUUUCUUUUGAAAGUGUGUGUGUGACUGGGGCCCUGCUGAUCUGAGUUCAGGCCCAUGAAAGAGAAAUAACUUUAAAUUAAUACAAGUAAAAUAACAGACAUAUUUUCAACCCAGCAAUACAGGUGCCUUCUGUGAAGCACUGGGACAGACCUAACUCUACUGCAUUUGAAGUUUUUAUUACAGUUCUCAUGCUAUUUACUUUGUCUUGUUAGGUGCAUUGUGUAUGAGGAUGAAAAAAAUACUGACAACUCCUUAAUAAAUGAAAAUUAAUGGCCAUAAGCUGACAUCAAGUACCCUUAUGUAUGUGACUUGCAUUUUUCAGAGACUGCUUGUCUGAAACAAGUUAGUUAUAAGUCAAACACCUUCAUUUUGCAAGUUGAUUAGCAGUUUGUUUAUUCUUGUAAAUAUCUGUAUUAAGAAUUUCACUAAUGACUUCAUCACUUGCCAGUUGCUUUUUUAAGGCUUCUUUCAAUCUUAUAAGUACUAACCUACAGCAGAUACAAACCAUGUUUUAAUUGUUAUAUGAGCUAGCUUAUCUUCUUUAUUAAUAUUAGAAUCUACAAAUGAAUUAACUCAUGGUUUCCAAAUCAAUAUUUAAGACUAGUGAAUUGGAAGACAAUCUUUCGGGUACAUAUGCCUUUCUUCAGGCCUGAAAUUGGAGGGGCAAAUUCCAAAAGGAAUGCUCAUCUUGUGCUGACUCCUCCAAUUUUAACUAGAUAUUCAGAGCAUUUGAAAAACAAGACAGUUGGUACCUGGGCAACAGAUGAGAAAUGAAAUAGAUGAGAAAGAAUGUGGGAAGUAAGAUAAUUAUCUUUGUGAAAGGACAGAGCAAGGCAGGUAAGUCAUGGUUUGUGAAGAAAAACAAAACAAGCAAGGCAAAAUAGAAAGCAAAUUUUUGCCUAGUAUGUAUUUUUUGAAAUUUAGAAUUAAGGAUUCAACUCAUAGAUUUGUUUUUGGAAGUCAUUUUGCAGAUCUUCCCUGGAGGAUCAGUGCUGAAGUCUCAGAGAGCAUGUAGGUAUUUUGCCAGAAUCACUCCUUAUCUGGUUUUAUCUUACAUUAAGGGGCUUACUCUGACAUGUAACACACAGUUGCCAUGACAGUUUUAGGUAAACUGGACGAAACAGAAUUUCCUCUUAGCUCUACUCCCUCUUACUGCCUCUGUCCAUAAAUGAGGUCUGGCUUACGAGUUUAGACCAAACCAUUGCAGUUACCACAAAAUCUUGAAAUGUUUGUGCAAACAUAGUCACAUCCUUUGGAGUUGAAACAGAUACAUCAAAUAUCAAUUAAGAAAGAAUUUCUAUUACUACUGAAGCGUUUUGACUGAUUAGAAAUCACUGAUGAAAUUUUAAUUCUGGCUCUAUUUCUAGUCACACUUUAUCAGUUGGCACUUGGAUCAUUUCAGUGCCUUUGAUUCUUUUAAUUCCCAGCGAUGGAAGAGAGCAUACAGGAUUUUAAUGACACAUUUUAUCUGUGUAGAUAAAAUGCAGAGUUGGUAGCCAUUCUUCCUUCUCACAACUGGAUAAAUUUAGCAAGCAGCAGACAGCCUGACCUAUGUUGUGUAGGCCAAAUGCAAUUUGCAGACAAGUAUAGGUUUUUAAAUAAUAUCUUGGCUUCCCUUACACUGAAAUCUCAUGACUGACAGAUAAUCAAGAAGAAAACCAUGUGAUUGAGAAGGCAAUUAGCUGUCUGCAGAUAAAUCUUCUGCAAGGCACAUAUGUAAGUAACCACACACCAUUUAUUUACAAGGAGAAAUAAAGAAGGUUUUUUUAAGCAAUAAGGUUUCUCUGCUACCAUAUGUUAUCAACCAAAUAAGCUUUUGAAGGCUAGAAGGGAAUCCAAAUCUUCUUAAUCCAAGAAUAAAAGGUUAAAAGUAGUUUUAAAUUAGGAAAGCUUUAAAUAACAUCAUAAAGUAAUCACAAUCUUUCACUCACCAUGUAAUUUCUGGAAAAAAAAUCCUUAGGUAAUUUGUAUUUGAAAGUAAUUAUCAAAGGUAUCUGUUCUGAAAGUCAUAUUCUGUCAUACUUCUGCUUGAUUCAAAGUUAUUUAAAUAGGAGUACCAACUUCAUUUGUUAAAGUAACAAGUUGCAGAUGAUGCCAGUAGACAGAAAAGGAGGGAGGAAAUUCCUUGCUUGUUGCACUGCUGUCUUGACAAUUCUUCUGUGGAUUUUAUCUUUGUAUCAUUUAAUAGGUUUUAGAAGCCCAGAUUUUAAUAAGAGAGAGUAAUGGCCUAAUCUGAGGAGAAGAAAACCCAAACAACCACAGUCUGCUGAGAAACAAGAAGCGUUUGCCACCUUUAGCCAGAGAUUUGUGAUGCCCUCAGUAGGCUGAGCACUAAGGGGGUGUUGUCUGGGCUCCUGCUUUGGAGCCUGUUGGAUCUGAGAAACCUGUUAAUGCUCUGACCUCAACCAGAGGGCUGGUAAUAAAUGAGGGCAAGGAGGAGGAAAUCUUAAAAACAUUACUGCCUUUUCUGAUGUGACUGUCAUCUCCUGGUGGAAUUUCCAGUCACCUCUAAAAACUAUGAACUAAAUUGAGGCUACUUAUAGGAUUUGCAUGUGACCUCUAUCACUCUGCAGCUUUUCAAAAUGCAGAACACCUGCAACUUCCACUCAUACUUCCAACGAGUUUUCAUUUGUUGUAACUUUACUGAAUGUAGAACUGAUUUAAACAAAAAAUGAACUCACUGAAGAAGCUGCCCAGCUGUUGUAAUUGUGGCUGUCCAGAUCUUUGGUAACUGAAGAUGCAUCUACAAUGGCAGCAAUGAGAUACAAAAUAAAGGCACUCCCAUUAAAACACAGACCCUGUUGAAAAACAAACAUACAUCAUUAAUAUCCACAGACAUUUGUUUUCCAACAUUACAAAACUCUCUUCUGAAAUACACUGAACACAUACAAGUGUACACCAGAGUUGUCAUUCUUAACUGUUUUUGCCUUCUUCAAUGUUUCUGUCUGUAAGAUUAAAAUUUAACUGCUUUGAGGAUCCAUAAACAUUGAACCAUACUUUGGACAAACUGUUCUCUCCAUCACACUGAGUGCAGAAAAGUCUUAAAGUUGGUGCCCUGUGAUUUUCCAGAAGUGAAAAUAAGGACUCAGUUUGGUUACCACAAUCUAUGGAUUAUGAAGUAAGAAUAUGACUCUACAUGAUUAAAAAAAAAAAAACCAAAACAAAACAAAGAAACAAGACCAAACUGCACUUAGAUUAUAUUUCUAAUCUACACAAAGAUAGGAAUCAAUAACUCCUGGCAUAUGGAGAGUAUUUAUAAAGCUUCCAAAACUUUGUUUUCUAUGCUGCUGAAGGAGAUAAAGAGGGUGACUUUUUUUCUCAGUUGUAUGCUUCCAUCUUUCAGUACCUUUCCCUUCUGUUUUUAAGAGGAGAAAGAAACAGACAAAUCCAAGGAGGAGAACAGUCUGACUGGACUCCAUGGGUCAUCAAGACCCAUGACAGAUGCUGCGUUUUCUCUUUCAGGAGGCAAAGUUAAUGUCUCAGGGUACUUAGGUUUAUGACUAAGAAAGAAGCCAAGCAGAUAACAAUGACCUCACAUAACCCUACAGAGAGCAAACAAAAAAUUUGUUUGGUUUUUGCAUGUGAGAGAGAACAGGAAAGGAAGAGUGAACAGAUGUCUAAGAAGAUGAAAGAGAAAAAUGUAUGUAUGAAACUUUGUCCUUUAUUUUUUCACUACUUGGUCGUGAAAGUUUCUUCUUAUUAAAAGAAAGGUUAAAUCCUUUUAAACUGCACUCUGCUAUUUGUCUAAGGCAUACAAAUUUGGUGCCAUGUUUAUGUGGAAUGCCUCUGAUAUGCUUUGCAUCUGGUUACAAUUGCAGGAAUGGGUAACUCAAUAUAGACCUGGUCCUUAUGUACAGAAUCAGCUCCCUUCAGCUUCUGACCCCAGUUUUGCACUCCAGACUGUCACACAAAUAUAACCUCUACCUCUCUUGCUCUAGUUGCCUGAAUGUUGCCAAGCUCAUGCAACUCCAACUUAUUAAUUCUCAGCGUGUGACCCAGUGGAUCCUAGGAAUUUAUGCCAAUUACCCACAAUUUAAUUAACUUUUCACCAUCUUUGGCAAAAUCUAAAAAAAAGCUGCAGCUCAAGAAGAGAAGUUAAGAAGGAACUGUGGAAAAUAUCCACUUAUCCUUCCACAGGGAACUGGGCUGAGCAGUGCCUCAGCACUUAGAUAGAAUCCAAAGACUGGCACUUGAGAUUUGAUUCGCACACUUACAAAUGAGUGGGGAUUUAUCUCACCUAUAUCAGUCUGUCUAAUAAAAGGUACUAUGUCUA